AUCGCUUCUCGGCCUUUUGGCUAAGAUCAAGUGUAGUAUCUGUUCUUAUCAGUUUAAUGUGCUUCUUUAUGCACUGUCUUGAGAAGCCAAGUUCACAACUAUAAAUAUGGUGCAGGCCCUGGCUGUGUAGCUCAGCUGGUUAGAGCAUCGUUCCAAUACACAAAAGUUGUGGAUUCUAUCUUCA